UCAAUGUCCAGCUUGGUUCCAUUUCCAAACAGUAUGUGUCCACAUGAGGCAACAGCACAGUAGUAGGUCCCAGCAUGAGAAAGAUUCAGGUUCUUCAUUGGCAAGUUGUAGACACAGGUGUGUGUUUGUGUGUUGUGUUUCCUCUCACACUGAUCAUUCCUGUCUCCAUGGGUGUAAAUGAGUCCUGGAUGAGAUUCUUCAGAGCUUUUGAACCAGUAAACACUGUGUUCUCCAUCACAGGUCCCAGUGUGUACUGUACAGUUGAGAGUCACAGAGCCUCCUGGCUGGAUGGUCUCAGAUUCUAACUGAUGGACCCAAGCCUGG